rnacentral:rRNA from 1 species
UACGGGGGGGGCAAGCGUUGUUCGGAAUUACUGGGCGUAAAGGGCUCGUAGGUGGCCAACUCAGUCAGACGUGAAAUCCCUCGGCUUAACCGGGGAACUGCGUCUGAUACUGGAUGGCUUGAGGUUGGGAGAGGGAGGUGGAAUUCCACGUGUAGCAGUGAAAUGCGUAGAGAUGUGGAGGAACACCGAUGGCGAAGGCAGCCUCCUGGGCCAGCACUGACGCUCAUGCACGAAAGCGUGGGGAGCAAACAGG